UUUUCUGAGGGAGGGGUUUGGCAACACUGCUGUGCUCGUUCUCAGAAUACAGACAGUUCUCCUGACCUGCUAAAACCAGCAGUUUUGGGGAGAAAAUCCUUCAUCUCGUUCAUUUUGGCCAAGGAUCCGCUUAAGAUCUGCAGCGACUGCUGACUGAAUGUGGAGGAAAGUUUCACUGAUACGAGAACUACUGCAGAAGAUUGAAACAAUGAUGGAGGAGAACGGAGGGAAAUUUAAACACAUGAGGAGGAUACACAGCAUGGUCAGCAUUGUCAAUUUUUCAGCUGAAGAUCCAGAUGAGACUGAUGUGAUUCCUGAGAGCAAAGACCAGAUCAGGCCGGUUCUGCUGGGAGAAACUGGAUCUGGGCAAAGUGCCACUGGAAACAGAAAUCUGUUUGAAUCUUCAGCCGGUUCAAACUCUGAAACGAAACAGAGCCGCUCAGAAACCAAUGUCAGGAUGGGUAAAGAUAUCUGGUUUUAUUGAUAACGUGCAUGAAACACAUUCAAGAGAACAUGGAUGAGAAAGCAGGUGGCUCCAGAAAUGCAGAGUUUAGCAGAUGAGCCUCGUCACAAAGGUGAUUCUGAAGGUGAUCGUUGCUUCUGAUCUAUAGUUUUCAGUCACAUGAGACCUGGAGAACAAAACAUCCAUAGAGCUGCAGCACAGGCCUGUCUGCUUACUGUCUGCUUCACACACAUGUAGAUCAGCUGUACAAAGAAGAAAAACAAACAUGUGAACAAAAAGACAGUUUUGUGAUCCAUAUAUAGAGCACCUGCUGCAGUAUCUCAAUCACUGAAAACAUUAAAAAAAAAAACACGCUUAAUAUGGAAAACAUAUGAGGUGCCUUAAUGUACUAAAACAGUGAUCUUAAAAGCUGAUUGACGAUGCUUACUAUAUACAGGUGACCAGACGAAACCAGCAUGAUGUGGUUUAAUUCCAGGCUGCAACACAGGUGCAGAGGACUCGUCUGGUUCUUGCGUUAAAUGGUUAAGUGGUUUCUAUGAAUAUGCUUAACUGCUGUUGUUUUCUCUCUAAAACAUGGAUUACCAGCAAACCCUGGAGGCUGUAAAACAUGUUAUUGGGGCUCGAAGGGGAAACUAGCAGCACAGAAGAUGUGUGUAAUUCAGUAAGAAAAAGCAUUCAUGAUGCUACAGAAGCUCCAGAAAAGCUCAUCUGCUUUUUUUCUCACAGCUUCAGCUUGUUAACAUGAUUGUUUAAAAUAAUUAAUUGUAUUGUGCUUUUAGAAAGCUAAAGCUGAUAUAUUUUAUUUAGAGGAUCCGUGUACUUACACUAAAGAUGAUUAUUUUUAAAAGUCAUGAAGUGACAUGAUUUGUGUCGACUUCACGUGUAACCUUAUUUCAUACUGUUAUAAAUCUUUUCUAUUUUAAAAUCUGUGCAGUCUAGUUUUUUUUAUUCAGUAUUAAUGUCUAAAUGCUAUUGCAGUGCAAUAUAGUCUCACUCACACAUGUUGCUUUUCUAACUGUGCUUAUUUCUUCCAUCUGUAGCAGAGGGUGAUAUAAUCCGUUGCUGUCAAAACAAAAAAAUGACCCAUCUGACCACAUUCAAGACAUUUAUUUAGUGACGAUCAGAAAAUACAGCAUGCAUCAUCCUCCUCACACGCAAACAUCAGCUGAAGAAGAGAAUCAACAACAACAACAACAACAACAACAAAAAAAGUCCGUCAUGUCAUUCCAAAUAU